GAGGGUUCCCUUGAGUUAUUCAUCACAGGCCCCCUGAAAGGUUUGCUUCUUGCUCCACCUCGGACGAUCACGGAAAUAGCGAGAGGUUGCAGUCCCCCCAUACCAUAAUCCAACCACGUUCCCGCUCGCCGUUCAAUAUCUUUCCUAUGAUUACUCCCCUCUUAGGGACCUGGCCUCUCAAAUAGACGAGCCCAAGUUAUAUCAUCAUGUCAAUGCCGAUUGAACCUUGGUGCUCUAU
rnacentral:lncRNA from 1 species